rnacentral:sRNA from 1 species
AUGGACAGCUCAGCAUUUGAAAUGUGUGAAGACGCAACACAGAAUAGUUUGUCUAUGGGGACGAUAAACACUAUCUCUAGAAUGGAAAAGAAGAGGCUGUGGUCACGGGUGAGCAUUUUCCUGGUGUGUCUUUUGGCCUGCAUCAUUAUCACAGCAGUAGGAGUGCUGAUGCUGUCCUUGGUCUAUAUUAGCAACUCAUGCAGACAUUCAUUUCAAACCUGAAGCCUGGCCUCUGCAAACAAUGAUUCCCAUAGUAUCAAAAGCUAUUGAUCCAGAAUUUCAGUUUCUUAAUCACUUACCUAAAUCUAAAGUGUUUGACUUCCUUGGUGGUACAAUCCAGUGGGCCCGGUACAGGAACAAUGUCAAAGACUAUCUCAGCAAUGAAGAGGCCUUUGGCACCAGCUUGAACAGUCAGAGAUCACAAAUGACUCUGGGGACCCUUAGGAUAAAAAGCAAUGGCCUCCAGGCCCUUCACUGGCACUUCAACGCCAAUGAACAUGACUGUCUUGCUCAGGGAACAGCAUAGAUUGGGGUGGUUGAUGAUGAUGGUGAAGUAGUUACACGUACAGUGUUAUAGCUGGCCAAGUAAUCUUCUUCCCUAAAAAUAUACUAUACUGGAUAAAGAAUGUGGGGAAUGAAGAUUUUUUCUUGCUUUUCUUUUCCACACAUGAUGGACUUCAGACUUUGAAUGUUGAUGAUGUAUUUUUUUCUGUAACUGAGACAUUGCUUCCAGGUAACUUAAGGUAUCAAAAUGCCCUCACCUUUAGUGCACUCAGAAUUUGUAACAGAAUUAUAAUGGAUUACGACAGCCACAUUUUCAUUUUAAUGCAAAUGAAAUGCACUAUGUGUUAAGUGGAUGUGGAAAGGUAAUUUAUCUCUAAACGUGGAGAUUAUUGGCACUCAGGGUACCAUAGAAUUCAACAUUCACACUGGAGAUGAGAUAUUUUCACUAUUGGAACCCAGCAUUACAUUAAGAGCACAUGUAAUUAGGAUUUGCUUUUCAUUCUUGCCUUCAGCUGCAAACCCUUGACAUGGACGAUUAUAUCUAGGCUACAGGCAGACUGCAUCUUGGCCCAGCUUUCUUCAGGGAGCAAAGUGAAUUUAACAAGAGCCCCCAGUUUAAGGAGCACCAGGUAAUCAACCUGCCUUAG